AUUGAACGCUGGCGGCAUGCUUUACACAUGCAAGUCGAACGGUAACAGGUUAAGCUGACGAGUGGCGAACGGGUGAGUAAUGCAUCGGAACGUGCCCGGUCGUGGGGGAUAACGCAGCGAAAGCUGCGCUAAUACCGCAUACGAUCUGAGGAUGAAAGCGGGGGACCGUAAGGCCUCGCGCGAUCGGAGCGGCCGAUGUCAGAUUAGCUAGUUGGUGAGGUAAAGGCUCACCAAGGCGACGAUCUGUAGCGGGUCUGAGAGGAUGAUCCGCCACACUGGGACUGAGACACGGCCCAGACUCCUACGGGAGGCAGCAGUGGGGAAUUUUGGACAAUGGGGGCAACCCUGAUCCAGCCAUGCCGCGUGAGUGAAGAAGGCCUUCGGGUUGUAAAGCUCUUUCGGCCGGGAAGAAAUCGCACAGGCUAAUACUCUGUGUGGAUGACGGUACCGGCAUAAGAAGCACCGGCUAACCACGUGCCAGCAGCCGCCGCCG
rnacentral:rRNA from 1 species